rnacentral:rRNA from 1 species
AUUGAACGCUGGCGGCAGGCUUAACACAUGCAAGUCGAGCGAACAGACGAGGAGCUUGCUCCUCUGACGUUAGCGGCGGACGGGUGAGUAACACGUGGAUAACCUACCUAUAAGACUGGGAUAACUUCGGGAAACCGGGGCUAAUACCGGAUAAUAUAUUGAACCGCAUGGUUCAAUAGUGAAAGACGGUUUUGCUGUCACUUAUAGAUGGAUCCGCGCCGCAUUAGCUAGUUGGUAAGGUAACGGCUUACCAAGGCAACGAUGCGUAGCCGACCUGAGAGGGUGAUCGGCCACACUGGAACUGAGACACGGUCCAGACUCCUACGGGAGGCAGCAGUAGGGAAUCUUCCGCAAUGGGCGAAAGCCUGACGGAGCAACGCCGCGUGAGUGAUGAAGGUCUUCGGAUCGUAAAACUCUGUUAUUAGGGAAGAACAAAUGUGUAAGUAACUAUGCACGUCUUGACGGUACCUAAUCAGAAAGCCACGGCUAACUACGUGCCAGCCGCCGCAGUAA